GCAAACUUGGUCAUUUAGAGGAAGUAAAAGUCGUAACAAGGUUUCCGUAGGUGAACCUGCGGAAGGAUCAUUAUCGAGUUUGACCAAAGGGGGCUACUGUGCUGGCCCAUGGGCAUGUGCACGUCCCUCUUUAUUUCCACACACACACCCCUUGUGCACUCUUUGAGGUGGCUCUCUCUCGAAAGAAGUUGCCUGCCUCUUUUUUUCACAUGCGCCUUUUGUUAAUGUAUCUUGGGAUGUAUUUUCUAAAUCGAAACAACUUUCAACAACGGAUCUCUUGGCUCUCGCAUCGAUGAAGAACGCAGC
rnacentral:misc_RNA from 1 species